rnacentral:misc_RNA from 1 species
UAAUAAGUGUUUUAUGGCACUUCUUAAAUCCAUAUCCACCUUGUGUGCAAUGUCAGUCGAUCUUCUUCAUGGAGAUCGGCCAAACAUCAACCUUUAUCUUUUAACUCUUUGUCUGAAAAAUAUUAUGAAUAAACAAUUCAAAAUA